UUGGUAAUUCAACUAUACAGUAUAUGUUAUAAUAUAUGAGUAAUAUGUAGCUGUAUGUAAAAUACAGUAUGCAUUUUUAAAUAUUUUUACAUUUUGUUUGCAAAUUAUUCAGUUUUAUAUUCAAAUUUGUUUAGGAAAUCAAAAUAAAUAUAGUGUGUGACUGACCCACAUAGAGGAUUUGAAACCCCUUCUUUUAGUCCUUUGAACUCUCUUUGAAGGCUAGAAAGGUAGUUUUUGAUAAACACUGACUUAACUCUGAAAGUAUUGCUUUGAGCUUGAGCAAGAGUGUUUUUGAAGGGGUGUUUAUGUUAUUCUGUUCCCUGAAACACUGUAGACUGCCACUGGCUGCCAGAUUUCUUUUCCAUUUAAACAGAAGGAAAUGAAGAACCUUCCAGUGCUGGAAUCUUACUUUGUAACCCAGCCGGCUUUGCAGCUGGACGGCAAAUAAUAAAUAAAUAAAUAAAUAAAUAAAUAAAUAAAAAUAGCAGUGCUUAGAAUGAAACACUGGAAUCAAAACUUGUUGCUAAAUUAUGUAUUUAGGGUUAUGCAUCCAUAAUUCCUUACUCAGGUUCUCCUUCGUCUCUUGUACUUCCUCGCUGUUCUCAAUGCUUUCUUCACAAGUUUGCGUACAGUUUCCAGUCAGUAUAAAUUCUGUGUACACUUAGAACCUGUCAAAACACUGCUUACAUGUGUUCAGUGUGGUUUGUGUUUGCAUUUUCAUAAGCAUGCACUAGUCGUGUGAGCUGUUUCUCCCUUGGCAUGUUAUAACUGAGGUCUUUGUGGAUAUUUUUUGGUUAGCAGACUGCCGUGGCAAAGUCAUGCCAAGCCAAUGGCCCAGGGCAGACAAACUGGAGGAGAUGUUACAGAGCGGGUGUGACGGAAAAAGAAGUCAUGCAGUUUUGCAACAUGUGGUUCAAAGAGGCUAAGUCACGGCUGGAGAGAGAUCAGCAGGAGCAGGGACAGGGAUGGCAGGAAUGUAAAGUGUUUCCUGAUGCUGAGUUCACCUCCCUCUGGGAUCAGACCCUGUGCGUUCUGGACCUGAAGCUUUUUCUAGAGACACUCAGGCUACUUGCAGCAACAGUCUGCUAAGUUAAGAUAUUUACAUAAUUAGACUGACUACUCUUGUGAAAAAAAUAGCACUUAAUAUACUUUAAAAGAAUAUACUUAUGUAAUUUAUUCGCACACUUAGUGCAUGUUAAUUGCAAUUAAAUGAAAAUAUAUUAUGGCUUACAGUAUGUUUAGAUAAAAUGCAAUUAGUUGAAUGUUGGCUUGCUUUUUUGACAUGAGAACUUUUUUUAUAAUUUUAGUCUUUGAAAUAUAAAGUCAUCUUUCAAAAGCACUGACAUGAAUUUACUGUAAACUAAAACACUUUAAUUAAACUUGCAUGUGUGUAUAUACAUUUGUAAUGAUGAAAUUGCAAUUUAGUAUUAAUUAUUAAUGUAAUUCCUUAUUGGCACAACCGAUUAGUUACUUUUAAG
ensembl:lncRNA